CUGAAAUAUACACAAAGGCAAUGUUCCAAAAGUUUGAACAGGAGCUAAUGCAAAGUUUACCGUGUUUCAUGGAACUGAAAAUGGAUGAUGCUUCCAAAGCUAUCUAUAAAGUGAGUGAAAGGAAAAGGGGGAAAACAAGAGUGACAGAAGUUGUAUAUGAUAAAUAUUUCGAUCAAUGGUCGUGUAGCUGUAAAGGAUUUGAAUUUAUUGGGAUUCUUUGCUGCCAUGCACUGGCAUUGUUAAAAAGAGAGCAAAUUGAAUAUCUGCCCAAUAAAUACAUUUUGAAUAGAUGGAAGAAAACUGCAAAAUCUGGAUUUGUGUCAGAUUCAAAUGGCAAUGAAAUUAAAGAUUGUGAGAACAGUUCUCUCCUAAUAAAGCGAAGUAGAAUGUCCAUACUUGCUUCAGAUGUAAUUGAGCAUGCUUUAAUGUCCGAAGAAGGUUGUGAGCUAUUGUCGAAUAAUCUAAACGAUACGCGGGUGACAUUGAAGUUAUUGAAUGAUGGGGUCAGUCCAAGCAAAGUUGGAGGGUCCCAAACACGAUAUUUGAAGGACCCUAAGAGAGUAACGCACAAAGGAAGCUCAAAACGAGUAAAGGGAGCAAAGGAAAAAGGAAUGGAGCGAGGGAUCCGACAUUGUCAGCAGUGUGGACAAACUAGUCAUGAUAUAAGACGAUGUCCAAGAAUGGCGAACACACCGACAUCCCCGUCAGACAAUGAAGAAUCAACUCCGAUCAAUCUUAGUGACCCGUAAUUCGAUGAAUUUGAUAGCAUGCACGGACCUACCAAGUGAUUUAUGUUUCUACUAUACGAAGCUCAUUUUCCGUCAAUAUUGUUGGACCCAGAUUUUUGGCUUAUGGAAGAUUGUUGUCAUUGAGAACCUUCAUCAAUUUGGCUGUUUUUUAUGAGAGUUGGACCUAUCAACUCUUAAUUUUGACGGUGCACAUCCAUUUAUUGCCUUUUAUGGUAAUACAAAGGCAAUUCGGGGUAAUACAGUGGCAAUAUAAAGGCAAUUGGGGGCAAUGCAGUGGCAAAAUGAAGGCAAUUGGAGGCUAUAUAGUGCCAAUACUAGAGCAAUAGGAGACUAUACAUUGGCAAUACAAAAACUCCAAUAGUCCACGAUUUUGUAAACAUUGCUAUCUGAAGGAUACAUGAAAUUUUGUGAC